UCAACAAGGAACACAAGAGGAUAACCAACAACUUAAGAUUUGGGAUUCUGAUUUUUGGCUGUUUUUCUGUUUGCUUUCGCUGUGUUGGAUUAACCUGAAUGGAGCUGAAGGAUUCUCUGGAUUAUUUGGAUUAUUUUGGGUACGGCCAGCAGGGAACUAAGUGUUUUAGAAAUUCAGACGCAUUAUUUGGAGAUCUGGCUCCAGACUUCCACACGUGGAUAAAACUGGGAUCUGACACUUCACAUGAACAGCUGACGGCAGUUUGCAGUUGUCUGAGCUGAGUUUGAAAGGAAGGAAGAACAGAGCGGCUGGACUAAAAAAAGAUCUUAGUCUUGUAAAAGAGAGCUCCAUUAAUGAGCAUCCUACUGCCUCCUACUGACUAUUCGUGGUAUUGCACAAAUAAAAAAAUCCCCACAUUACUCUUGUGGGUUCAACUCCCUCACAAUGAAAACUGUCGCACAACAUCGCACACAAGCUUGGUUUUAAAUGUACU